rnacentral:rRNA from 1 species
CCUACGGGUGGCAGCAGUGGGGAAUAUUGCGCAAUGGGCGAAAGCCUGACGCAGCGACGCCGCGUGAGGGAUGAAGGUCUUCGGAUCGUAAACCUCUGUUAGCAGGGAAGAACGGUCACUGUGCUAAUCAGCAGUGAAUUGACGGUACCUGCAAAGGAAGCACCGGCUAACUCCGUGCCAGCAGCCGCGGCAAUACGGAGGGUGCGAGCGUUAAUCGGUAUUACUGGGCGUAAAGCGCUCGUAGGCGGUAUGUCAAGUCAAGGGGGAAAUCCCCGCGCUCAACGUGGGAACUGCCUUUGAAACUGGGAAACUGGAGUGUGUGAGAGGAUAGUGGAAUUCCAGGUGUAGGAGUGAAAUCCGGAGAUAUCUGGAGGAACAUCAGUGGCGAAGGCGACUAUCUGGAACAUAACUGACGCUGAGGAGCGAAAGCGUGGGGAGCAAACAGGAUUAGAUACCCCGGUAGUC